UUUAUGUCGUGCAAUGUGCAUUCAUAUUUCAUGCACUGAUCUGUGCAGUGAACACAAGUCUACACUCUUGACUCUACAUAAUAUAAAUUUUUGUAAUUUGUUAUUUACGUUGUUAGCUAGUUGUAUCUAAAAUCGAUUACGAUACAGAAAUAAAAUGACGUGUACCGAAUCAUUGAAAACUAUAUCAACUGAGCUGCUUGCGUUUGAAGAGAAACCAAAAAUAAUAGAGGGUAGAAAAAUUCAUGAUUGGUUCAAAGUUGGUGAAAAUGUGUUUGAAUAUUUUUUUAAAUUGGGCACACAGAUUUCCUGGGAUUUCUCACAAGUAAAAAAUGAACCACAAUGUACCAAGAUAGUUGAUCUCGUUACGAAGAAUAUAAAAUGGAUUGAAAGUUUCAUUACUCUUUAUCCUAACUUCAGGAUAGAUUGUGAUAUGGUUGGAUCUGCUGGAGAUGUCUGUAAAACUCGUUCAGGGAUAGAAGUUUUGCUUAAUGGUUUUAAGGGUUUGGAUCCUCAGUUUGAUACAACAUUAGAAAAUUUGGCAGAUGCUGCAGAUAUAGAGGACUUUGAUCGUGUUUUAAAAGUGUGGAUUGAUUCCGGUCAUCGUCCUGAUAUUUUACCAAAAGAUAUACAUUCAAAUACCCCUCAGUCACAUUGGUGGUGGUUUUAACUUUUCACAUAUAGAAAAUUUGAAUAAAGAAGGCAAUAUGUAUUGUGUGUAAUAACACAGCCUUUUUAUAGAAGUCUAUAUAAAUUAUAAAUAACUAUUGUUAUUACUACAUAUAAAAUUACUAUUUAACAAUAAAUUGUAUACAUUUAAC